CUGGGCAGUGGCAAAAAAGGUAGCCAGUGAAAGGAGGGCUGAUAGACAGGUGCUUGGCCUCAAGAGCCCUGAAUCUGAGCCUCAUCACUCCCUCUGUCUUACUGCAGGGGGCCUUGGAAAAAUGGCCAAUCUCUUAGACCCUCACUUUUAUCAUCUGUAAAAUGGCACUGAGGCGUCCUGUCCUUCUGACUCCUCUGGUUAUGCUAGGAAGCUGAUAAAGACAUGGGCGUCAAAGCAUGAGGCAGAGCAUAAAAGUCACUGACUGAGGGCAUCCCUGCUACUUUGUGAAAGGAACAGGAGGGUAAGGAAGGAGACACAGGGAAAGGACAAGGCAGGUGAGAACGAGUGUCCAGACCUGGGGAUUCCAGACUAAGAACAAGGGCAACAGGAGCAGUGGGGAGAGAUGCAAAACAGACCUGAUCUUAGGAUGCUGGGAAAACUCCCCAGGAGGCGGUGCAGCUCCCUAAGUCGAGCUGACUCCCACAAAGAUCCUCCCCAGGAGGAAGAGUAGUGCCCUGGCAGGGAGCUGGAGCAAUGGAGCUCUCUUGAGGAGGCAGAGACCAUCGGCUCACAUGAGAAAGCAAACUAAGAGCUUCUUUAGCUCACUCCUACACUGUCAAAGGAACAUUAAAGCCUUCAAUGAAGAGCAUGCUUGCUUUGUGGCUCCCCAUUGACUCAUCCCUUCUACCUUGAGUUAUGAGGUAGCAAGAGCACAUAGAGAAGGAUGAGGAUGAGACCGGCCCUCUCUCACCUUCCCACAGGACAGACCGAUCACUCCCUCACCCAGCCCAGGGGCCAGAACACGAGAAAGAGUAUUCAGUGACUGAGGCACUCCUCUGCCCCCUCUGGAGAAGGAAGAGAGGACAGGGUCCCUUCCAGGCUUUGAGAAGGUCAAAGCUCAAGAAGAUCUGAGGUUAUCUAGUCCAGCCCCAUUGGGAAACUGAGGCUCAAGGAAGGAAAGAGCCUCCCUCCAAGCCUCCAGAUACCUCUUGCACUGCUGGAUCCUUUACUUCUUCAUUUAAGGAAAGCAGUCCUUGGCCCGUCCAAGGAUCCAAAUCGA
rnacentral:lncRNA from 1 species